rnacentral:rRNA from 1 species
ACUCCACGGGAGGCAGCAGUGGGAAUAUUGCACAAUGGGCGGAAGCCUGAUGCAGCAACGCCGCGUGAGGGAUGACGGCCUUCGGGUUGUAAACCUCUUUUAGCAAGGAAGAAGCGAAAGUGACGGUACUUGCAGAAAAGCGCCGGCUAACUACGUGCCAGCAGCCGCGGUAAUACGUAGGGCGCAAGCGUUAUCCGGAAUUAUUGGGCGUAAAGAGCUCGUAGGCGGUUUGUCGCGUCUGCUGUGAAAAUCUGGGGGC